rnacentral:snoRNA from 1 species
CCAAAGAUGAAACACAGCCCGCGUGUCUGAAGGUUUUGAUGCUUCCUUCCUGGCUGAGG